UCCGAGUUGGUCUAGUGGUGAUGAUUUCCGCUUGUCACUGUUCAAAGGCAGAACGAGCGCGGGAGACCGGGGUUCGAUUCCCCGACUCGGAG